UACGGGGGGGGCAAGCGUUGUUCGGAAUUACUGGGCGUAAAGGGCGCGUAGGCGGUUUGCUAAGUUGGAUGUGAAAACUCUGGGCUUAACCCAGAGCCUGCAUCCAAAACUGGCUGACUUGAGUACUGGAGGGGAAAGCGGAAUUCCUGGUGUAGCGGUGAAAUGCGUAGAUAUCCGGAGGAACACCAGUGGCGAAAGCGGCCACCUGGACUGUACCUGACGCUCAAACACGAAAGCUAGGGGAGCGAACGGG
rnacentral:rRNA from 1 species